rnacentral:lncRNA from 1 species
CAGGCAAUUUUGCUGGCUGUUCCCGGAACGGACAGGACAAAGGGACUAUAUUAAGGCUUCCCUGGGACUCUGGCCAUGUCUCCAAAGGAGGCCCCUGCAACACACGGGUGGGCUGGCUGCCAGGGCUGGCAGAAGGAGAUGUGUGCUGGAAAUAAACGAGGAGCUGUUUGCUUACAGAUCUUCCCCACCACCUCAUGGGGAACCGAGAAAGAAAUUCUCAGAACGUCUAAGGAUUAGAUAGAAAAGACAACAUUUGUCUCCCAGAAAUGGUGCACACGCAUAGAUCUUUCAGGACCACGAAGUUACUUUCUUAAAACGGAUGGAAAAGUGUGUGGUGUUUCUGCACAGCUGGACCUCAGCUGGGCACACAGGAGCUAAAGACACCAAUGUAUGACAUGUGGAAUGGGAUUAAAGCUUUCUUCCUAAAUGU